GUGAGUCCUCAGCGAGAAUAAUCCAUCUUUAGGGAGGAUAACAGAACCACCCCUGACUGAGCAGGAAGAUUAGCCCUGAGCUAACUGCUGCCCCCAAUCCUCCUCUUUUUGCUGAGGAAGACUGGCCCUGAGCGAACAUCUGUGCCCAUCUUCCUCUACUUUCUAUGUGGGAUGCCUACCACAGCAUGGCGUGCCAAGCGGUACCAUGUCCGCACCCAGGAUCCGAACCGGCAAACCCUGGCCCCAGAAGCGGAACAUGCGAACUUAACCACUGCACCACCAGGCCAGCCCCAAGGACCCCAUGAUCUUCAGUUUGCUUCAUUUACCCAUUAAACAAAUAACUAUUGAGCUCCUGUUGUAUGCCAGGCACCGAGGAUACCACGAUGACCAAGAUAGACUAGGUCCUGCUCUCAUGCAGCUGAUGUUCUCGUCACAAAAACACUGAACAAAGAAAUAACUUCAGAUGGUGAGGAGUCCCACGAAAUAAAGAACGAUGAUGAGAUAGUCCCUUGGGUGAGGCGAGGGGGGCCCCUUUCGAUGUGAUGGGUAGACAAGGCCCCUAGGGAAGCCACGUUUAGGCUGAGAAUUGGCUGAGGAGAAGGAACCAUGGGGCAUUCAUAGGACAUUCAUGGAGCCAGGCAGAGGGAAUAGUUGUAAAAGUUGUAGAAUUUUUAUUGGAGAAACCAUCUGGGUCUACAACACAGGAGCCACAGAGCUGACCCAGACAAGGAAAUGCUGUUUUGACACACGCCGUGAUGACACAGACCUCCAGCCCCUGCUACAGGGUGCGACCUGACAACUCCUCUACAAACAUUCGAGAGUGCCUACUGAGUGCAAGGCACAGCGCCUCUGAGUCAGAAUCGCUGCUCAGCGCCAAGUGGCUGGAGGCAGCCAAGAGGAAUGCUUGCUGACCUUUCGGAGCUGGCAGUGACAGUGAUAAAUGAAGGGGGAUUUGGAUGCUCGCCCUUGACUAUAAGAGGAAACAGGCGGAUUGUGAACUGGGGCUCAUAUUCUGAAGCUUGAGUUUCACCAGCUAUGCAGUUUCUAGAGCCAUUUGCUCCCACAGAGCAUGGCAGGCAUUUGGACUUAAGGACUGACCUACUGGACUUAUGGACUACUCAGCUAUCGGCUCAGAUUCCUGAGCCUGGAACGUGCAGGCAACCUCACCAAGCUGUGGCCUCUGCUCGGGGCCAGGCUGGCCUGGUGGGCACACCGGUGACGGAGCUGACAUGAAGGGCCAUGUUGGGAGUCCAAACACCGGGGUCUCCCUCCCAGCAGCGCCCACAGGAGCCAGGCAACCUCUCCAGCCAUUCUAAUAGAAACAAGCAAGCAUCUGCUAGUGUCCAGGCAUGGUGUGGGCUCCUCACACACAGUAUCUCAUUUAACCCCCAGCACCAUCCUUUGGGGAAAGUACUGCCACGGUCCCUCCCAGAUGAGGCUGCUGGAGGCUUUGUAACUGGCCCAAGUUCCCUCAAGGGCAGAGGCCCAUGUUCCAGGAGACGGCCAGGAAGACCACAAAACAGCCAGUGCUUCUCUGCAGGCCUUUCUUCAGCCUACUUUCCAUCCCCUUGUGCCAGCCCGGGCCUCCGGCUUAGUUUUGUAGGCCUAGAAGGCUGAGGGGUUCAGGGGAAAGGUGGGCCAUUAUGAGCUCUCUCCGCACACUCCUUUCUCACUCCCUAUGAAGUCCAACUGUCCAGAGAGCUGACCUGAGGACACCGCCUCCAGGAAGCCUUCCCUGGGCCCUGAGGCUGGGUCAGGGCUCUUUCCUGGAGCCUCCCACAGGACCUAGUCCUUAUCACACUGUAUUAUUGACCUGGCCGAUAGCCAGUCUCCCACAGGCUCCUUGAGGGCAGAGACCUGGUCGGUUUUGCUCACAGUGGCAUCCACAGUGUGGUAUUUCAGUGAAGAAAUAAACGAAGACCACCUCUGGUCUCCUGUGUCCCACUCUGGGCCUUUUCCCCAAUUCAGCUGCACAAAUUCCUUCCAGCAGAAGCCACGCAUUCUGGAUGUUGUGUUGCAUGUCUCGUGCUGUGCUUUGCUCCU
ensembl:lncRNA